rnacentral:rRNA from 1 species
AACACAUGCAAGUCGAAGCGAUGAAACUCUAGCUUGCUAGAGAUGAUUAGUGGCGGACGGGUGAGUAACAUUUAGGAAUCUGCCUAGUAGUGGGGGAUAGCUCGGGGAAACUCGAAUUAAUACCGCAUACGACCUACGGGUGAAAGGGGGCGCAAGCUCUUGCUAUUAGAUGAGCCUAAAUCAGAUUAGUUAGUUGGGGGGGUAAAGGCCCACCAAGGCGACGAUCUGUAACUGGUCUGAGAGGAUGAUCAGUCACACCGGAACUGAGACACGGUCCGGACUCCUACGGGAGGCAUCACUGGGGAAUAUUGGACAAUGGGGGCAACCCUGAUCCAGCCAUGCCGCGUGUGUGAAGAAGGCCUUUGGGUUGUAAAGCACUUUAAGCAUGGAGGAGAGGCUAAUGGGUUAAUACCCAUUAGAUGAGAGCGUGACCUGCAGAAUAAGCACCGGCUAACUCUUGUGCCAGCAGCCGCGGUAAU